UUUGAAAUCUGACCCACCUUCUCUCUCUCUCUCUCUCUCUCAACCCUUGCAGGCAACCGAACCCAAAACCCCUAUUAGUCUCUUCAUCUUCUCUCUUCCUCCCUUCUCUCUUCCUAAUCAUCAUCUUCUCUCUUCCGACCGAAUGGAUCAACUAUAUAUAUGACUCAGAGAUGGGAGAUUCAGAGAUUCAGAGAUGGGACCGAAUGUAUGUAUAUAUAUGCAUUUGUUGUCAUAUCUUAUUCUCCGAGUUUUGAACCAUAACAUCGUGCAAGAUCAUGCUUGAUCCACAAGGGGUGAGUAAGGGUUCUGGUUUUGUGGCCUUCUCAACCUCCGUGGAAGCUACAAGAGCUUUGAAUGCGAUGAAUGGCAAGAUGAUUGGACAUAAACCUUUAUAUGUUGCCGUGGCCCAGCGCAAAGAUGAAAGGAGGGCACAAUUGCAGCUCAUCCCAUUUGAAAUCCAUUUCAGCGGCUUUGCAACAUCAUCUCUUCCCGUUUCUCUCUCGCUCUUUCUUCAACGGACCACCAUCAAGUUUGUGAUUGAAACAUUGUGUCUGAAGCAUUGUGGACUUGCUUAAGACCUUUCAUAUCGAAACAUUAUGGUUUGUGGUGUUUCAACCUCUUCAACAACCUUAGAUUUUAUUUUAAUUCAAAUCAUGGACAACAUUUAUAGUUUUGGUUAAGUAUGUUUAGUUUAUAGUUUAUGAAUCGAGGCUUAAUUUCUUGUUUAUUAUUUAUAAUUUUUCUCAUAAUUAAAUAUUUUUGUAUUAUUCUUUACAGGUGGAUGAUAUGUUAGAGGAAACAGUAAUAUUAAAUCUCUAUACUCAUUUUUUAUUUAAUCUACAUUCCUUAAUAUAAUUUUUCUUUUACCUUUCAAAUGCAUUUCUAUAUAUACACAGGUUCAGUUUCUUCAAAAUAGAAAUGUCAGUGUUGUGCUCUAUAAUGAACGUGACUUCAAUGUCCUCUGUGUUCGUGGGGAUUGGGUUGAAAAAGCUAUGGAGCUCAAGAGGAUAAAUAAGACUACAUUACUCUGAUGGAAUAGUAAUAAGAUUGUUGUGCAUGCUCCUCACUAGAAAAAGUACACAGAAGUUGAUACAUGGACAUUUCAAAAUGUGAUGGAGAACAAGUUUGAAGGCGCCCAAGCACUUUAGAUGCAUCCAAGUAAUUUUUCUAUAGGCGUCCAAGUUUUUGUAGAGGCGCCCAAGUACUUUUUGUUGAGGCGUCCAAGUUUGAAGACAUUAUAUGACAUACAUUUUGUAAAGCUUGAUGUUAACCAAUUUUGUAAAGCUUCAUAUUGAUACAUACUUCAAUGGAUUUCUAAUAUUUUUGUAAAGUCUAUUAGCAAUGUAAAAGAUUGGACCUUAUGGAU